UACAGAGGUCCCAAGCGUUGUUCGGAUUCACUGGGCGUAAAGGGUGCGUAGGUGGCAUGGUAAGUUUGAUGUGAAAUCUCCGGGCUUAACCCGGAAAUGGCAUUGAAUACUACUGUGCUGGAGGUUUGGAGGGGGGACUGGAAUUCUCGGUGUAGCAGUGAAAUGCGUAGAUAUCGAGAGGAACACCAGUGGCGAAGGCGGAGUCCCUGGACAACACCUGACACUGAGGCACGAAAGCUAGGGGAGCAAACAGG
rnacentral:rRNA from 1 species